CUAGACGAACUGCCGUUGACAAAACGGAGGAAGGUGGGGGAUGACGUCAAAUCAUCAUGCCCCUUAUGUUCUGGGCUACACACGUGCUACAAUGGCCGGUACAGACGGACGCAAAGCCGCGAGGUGGAGCAAAUCCUAAAAAGCCGGUCUCAGUUCGGAUUGCAGGCUGCAAUUCGCCUGCAUGAAGUCGGAAUCGCUAGUAAUCGCAGGUCAGCAUACUGCGGUGAAUACGUUCCCGGGCCUU
rnacentral:rRNA from 1 species